AUGAUUGCAGAAUUUGAUAUGGUAAUGCAAGAUCACCUUAGACGUGUUGAGAACAAGGAAACCCAUUAUCACUAUCUCAGUCAUAAAAUACAAAAUGAGCUGAUAUCUCUUUUGGCUUCUGACAUCACAUGUUCUAUCAUAAAGGUUGUUAAAGAGGCCAAGUAUUUCUCUGUUGUCCUAGAUUGUACCCCUGAUGUUAGUCAUCAAGAACAAAUGACCUUUUUAGUUCGAUGUGUUAAUCUGUCUGAUGGCAAAAUAAAAAUUGAGGAGUACUUUCUGGGGUUCUUGAAAGUGGAUGACACUUCUGGCUUAGGGAUUUUCAAAGUACUGCUUGAUUCUGUUGAGUCUUUUGGCCUAAAUAUUCAAGAUAUAAGGGGUCAAGGAUAUGAUAACGGUUCUAAUAUGAAAGGAAAAUACCGAGGGGUACAAUCUAGGUUACUUGAUAUGAAUCCAAGAGCAUUAUAUAUGCCAUGUGCUUGUCAUAGCCUAAAUCUCACUCUCUGUGAUAUGGCAAAAUCAUGUGAGAAAGCUGUUUCAUUUUUUGGAAUUGUUCAACGCAUAUAUGUAUUAUUUGCUGGCUCUACAAAAAGGUGGAAUGUUUUGCUUAAACAUGUUCCUAGUUUGACCGUGAAAUCAUUGUCCAAUACUCGUUGGGAGAGUAGAAUCAAAAGUGUUACAUCAAUAAGAUAUCAAGCCACUGAGUUAAGGUCAGCUUUGUCUGAGUUACGUCAUGCUUCUGACACUGAUCCUAAAGAUAAAAGUGAUGCCAAAAAUUUAUUUGAUGCACUUGGUCGCUUUGAGUUUAUAGUUGGUAUGAUUAUCUGGCAUGAUGUUCUAUUUGCUGUAAAUAAAGUUAGCAAGAUGUUGCAAUCGUCAACCAUGUGCAUUGACUCCGCUUUGAAGCAAAUAAAAGGUAUAACAAAAUAUUUUGAGAAGUACAGAGAUGAGGGGUUUUCUUCAAGUCUGACCAUCGCUAAAGGUAUUGCAACUGAAAUGGGAAUAGAGCCAUUGUUUCCAGUGAAACGUCAUGCUAAGAGGAAGAAACAGUAUGAUGAAAGUGAUUGUCAAGAAGAAAUCUUGGAAGCUGAGAAGGCUUUCCAAGUUAAAUAUUUUAAUGUUUUGGUUGAUAUGGCGAUCACUUCUUUGAAUGAUAGAUUUAAAGAACUCAUGGUCUUUAAAGAUAUAUUCGGAUUUUUAUUGAGCUCGGGCACUCUCACGUCAUUAAGUGACAAUGAACUUGAAGAAUGUUGCACAAAAUUUGCAGAAACUUUCUCUCUUAAUGGUUCAUCUGAUGUUGAGGUAUACGAUCUUAUUUCUGAAUUGAAGAUUAUGAGAUUCACUUUGCCAGAUGGCGCAAUGUCUGCUAUGGAGAUUUUCAGGCAUGUCAGAGAAGUUGAUUGUUACCCCAAUAUAUCCAUUGCCUAUCGCAUCUUAUUUACUGUGCCUGUGACGGUCGCAUCGGCCGAGAGAAGCUUUUCAAAGUUGAAAUUAUUGAAGAAUUAUUUGAGGUCAACCAUGACUCAAGAGAGGUUAAAUGGUUUGGCCACAUUAUGCAUCGAGAAGAAAUUAUUGGAUGAGAUUGACAUCGACCCUAUCAUAAGUGACUUUGCAUCGAGGAAUGUUAGAAGAAAAUUUUAA
rnacentral:rRNA from 1 species